UGUCGUCGCGACAGUAAUUGAACUUAGUACGAGAGGAACCGUUCAUUCAGAUAUUUGGUAUUGGCGCCUGUCCGAUCGGGCAACGGCGCGAAGCUAUCAUCUGCUGGAUUAUGGCUGAACGCCUCUAAGCCAGAAUCCGUGCUAGAAACGACGACGUUGGUCCCGCACGUACGACUCGUGUUCGAAUAGAGCUUCGGCUCGUGAACCAAAUCAGACGGGCUCGGCCGUCCGAGCGGAAAGGCUUGGGUGGCUCGCUUGUGAAUCGCAAUCAUCAUAUGCGCGGGGGUGGAUCCUUUGCAGACGACUUGAAUGGGGACGGGGUACUGUAAGCGAUAGAGUAGCCUUGUUGCUAUGAUCUGCUGAGGUUAAGCCCUCUCGUCCUAUAGAUUU
rnacentral:ncRNA from 1 species